UCAGUUUUAUUUAAGCUUUUAAGUGAUUCAGUAGAGAUAAAAGUAUUCUCUUUUAAUGUGAUGUAUAAAAUGUGAUAUGUGAAAAAGAUGAACAGUUGAUUAAAAGAAAGAAGAACAAUGGAAUACCACUUUGCGACUCGGUCAUAAUUAUAACCUCGAAGGGGGAUGAGGGUUUUAUAAAACUUUACAUCUGGUAUCAAAUGUUGCCGUACGUACCUUCAUCCUGAAAAGAAUAUGAUGAUUCUUCGUCUGACCAGCAGGCUUUAUAUAGUACGCGCCUUUCUUGUGAUCCCCGCCUUGCUUCCAAGUAGCUUGCAAGAGUCUCCAUAAAAGUAGUUGAAUCCAGUGGGGAUAUAUGAUACAAAGCGCAGAAGAGACGAAGGAUCUCCGACGAUCAACGCAGCUUGACGAGAGGAUACUCAACAAGAGUGUCCUCAAACAGAUGCUGGACGGCUCAACCAUUUCAUCAAGCAUCAGUGCUCUUUUGUCGCCUCAUUCAACUCUCAAUCAAUUAUCGACACAUAUAUGUGGAUAGAGACACUAUACUAUAAAUAUCAUAUUUGUUGAAGAUCUUCAAAAUUAGUUUAUUUCUAUAUUUAUUUUCACAAAGAACAGAAUUAGCUUCUCGAUAUUAAGUCAUGUAAAAGUCGUUGACAAAGGGUUGAACAGCAAAAUUUCAAGUAGUUGGAUAACGAAAGGAGACAAGUGAACCAUUGAAUGAUCAGUUAAGCUUUUGAAAAAAAUUGAUUUUUUUUUGUUACUCUUCUUUUUACUCAUCAUUUAGUACACUUGAGGACUUUUUUUAUCUGUAAAGAUUGUGAAGAAGCUGGUAAAAAAGAAUUUGAAGAGCAAGCUAUGACAAAUUAAAUAAUUCACUUGCAUUUAAUUGUAUACGUGAAGAGCAUUUUUAGCAAAAAGAUUUAAGGUAGUUUUGUAAAUAAAGUUCAA